GACGAACGCUGGCGGCGUGCUUAACACAUGCAAGUCGAACGGAAAGGCCCUGCUUUUGUGGGGUGCUCGAGUGGCGAACGGGUGAGUAACACGUGAGUAACCUGCCCUUGACUUUGGGAUAACUUCAGGAAACUGGGGCUAAUACCGGAUAGGAGCUCCUGCUGCAUGGUGGGGGUUGGAAAGUUUCGGCGGUUGGGGAUGGACUCGCGGCUUAUCAGCUUGUUGGUGGGGUAGUGGCUUACCAGGGCUUUGCCGGGUAGCCGGCCUGAGAGGGUGACCGGCCACAUUGGGACUGAGAUACGGCCCAGACUCCUACGGGAGGCAGCAGUGGGGAAUAGUGCACAAUGGGCGGAAGGCUGAUGCAGCAACGCCGCGUGCGGGAUGACGGCCAUCGGGUUGUAAACCGCUUUCGCCUGUGACGAAGCGUGAGUGACGGUAAUGGGUAAAGAAGCACCGGCUAACUACGUG
rnacentral:rRNA from 1 species